rnacentral:lncRNA from 1 species
UAGGGACGAAAACAAGCAAGUCAGGCAAAAAUACUUGCGAAAUAAGUUCAGAAAACUCAAAGGGACCGAGACCUUAAACAUGUAUUUCCCAGAAAACUUCAGGAAAACCAAUAAAAGAAAAAUCAUGCAAAAUACAAUAGGGGAAAUUAUAAGAACAAGGUAGAAGAAAACACAUAAGAAUCACAGUAGAGCAUGUCAAAUCAGAGAAAUCCUAAGUUAGAGAACGCGAAAUGUUUGAAAGCAAACUUUUGAAAAAAACUUUGGGAAAUCGUUUGAAACCUUAAAAUAAACAUAGAUCCAGAACAGAUCUAGGGAAAUCAGGAGAACCUCGAAAGGCUAGGGUUUCAGAAGAAUCCUGAAAGCGAUAAAGCUUGGAAAAGUCACGAUCUAAGCCAGAGAAUAUCACGAUCAGGUUAAAAAGACGAAGAACCACCGGAGCAAGACCGGAGAUGGCCAGGAUCUUCGAAUAAGUGAAGGUCUAAGUGAAUACCCUCGAGCUCAUGCCUCGAUCCUUCAAAAAAUGGGCAUGUAUGAGCCAUAUGAGGCAGGUACAUGCCUUCAAUGGCUUUGGAAUUCAUGGAUUCAGGCGGUUUUAGGUGGUAACCGGAGGGAGACGACUAGGGCUAAGUUUAGGUCUUAGAGAGAAUCAGAGAGGAGAGGGGGUUCAAGGGAGUCG